UGAAGGCUAGUGUUAUUACCACAAAUGAAUUUGGAUCAUUAAAUGGAGCCCACAAAACUCCGCCUUCAU
rnacentral:tRNA from 1 species